CCUGGGUUCGAGUCUCGGGUCUACCCCUUGAAAAUAUUUUUCAUGGGGUCCGGGCCCGGCCCGUCGAUCGCCGCCCUCCAUAAUCCGGCUGACUCUUCCUCGUGUGGGCAGCCUUUGGAAGAGUUUGUUUCGUCCCGCGCGCGCCACUUAGUACUCUUACUGAGUGAAAAGUGUCGUCAUCUGACAAAAAGAUUCUCCCGCUUCAUAUUCCGAUGUAGCCCACGUGUAGCCAGAAGAGUGCCGCAGAAUACCAUGGACGAUAUCGACCGACGCUGUGAAUAGCUGGUUCUGUAGCAUUGCCAUGGCCGAAUAUUGCUCGGGGUAACUCCACGAGGUUUGGCAUUCUCGAACUGUAAGGGAUUUUGUCCUCAGACCGAGGCGAAGCGAGCUUCUCUUCGGUCUGAGGAUAGGGUCCCUUACAGCUCGAGAUCACUGGCACCGUUUAAGCUUCUAUCUCUCAGCCAUGUAUCUCUUCAGCACAUUACGCCAUCUUGGGUUUUGGGACUCUUUUAGAGGACUCGUACCGGGCUAAUUAUCCCGGACCCGCAGUGACU
rnacentral:lncRNA from 1 species